UACGGAGGGGGCUAGCGUUGUUCGGAAUUACUGGGCGUAAAGCGCACGUAGGCGGCUUUGUAAGUUAGAGGUGAAAGCCCGGAGCUCAACUUCGGAAUUGCCUUUAAGACUGCAUCGCUUGAAUCGUGGAGAGGUGAGUGGAAUUCCGAGUGUAGAGGUGAAAUUCGUAGAUAUCGGGAGGAACACCAGUGGCGAAGGCGACUACCUGGCCUGUUCUUGACGCUGAGGCGCGAAAGCUAGGGGAGCAAACGGG
rnacentral:rRNA from 1 species